rnacentral:misc_RNA from 1 species
UCCUCGUUUAGACGAGGCAGUCUGUCCAGAGUGCUUCGAACUCUCGUUCGAGUGGCAACAGGACACAAGGGUUGCGCUCGUUGCGGGACUUAACCCAACACCUCACGGCACGAGCUGACGACAACCAUGCACCACCUGUAUACGGCCCCGAAGGACACCGCAUCUCUGCGGCUUUUCCGUAUAUUUCAAGCCCUGGUAAGGUUCUUCGCGUUGCGUCGAAUUAAGCCACAUGCUCCGCCGCUUGUGCGGGCCUCCGUCAAUUCCUUUGAGUUUUAGCCUUGCGGCCGUAGUCCCCAGGCGGGGUGCUUAAUGCGUUAGCUACGGCACGGAAAACAAUGAAGCUCCCCACACCUAGCGCCCAACGUUUACGGCGUGGACUAC